AGAGUUUGAUCAUGGCUCAGGACGAACGCUGGCGGCGUGCCUAAUACAUGCAAGUAGAACGCUGAAGAGAGGAGCUUGCUCUUCUUGGAUGAGUUGCGAACGGGUGAGUAACGCGUAGGUAACCUGCCUUGUAGCGGGGGAUAACUAUUGGAAACGAUAGCUAAUACCGCAUAACAAUGGAUGACACAUGUCAUUUAUUUGAAAGGGGCAAUUGUUCCACUACAAGAUGGACCUGCGUUGUAUUAGCUAGUAGGUGAGGUAAUGGCUCACCUAGGCGACGAUACAUAGCCGACCUGAGAGGGUGAUCGGCCACACUGGGACUGAGACACGGCCCAGACUCCUACGGGAGGCAGCAGUAGGGAAUCUUCGGCAAUGGGGGCAACCCUGACCGAGCAACGCCGCGUGAGUGAAGAAGGUUUUCGGAUCGUAAAGCUCUGUUGUAAGUCAAGAACGGGUGUGAGAGUGGAAAGUUCACACUGUGACGGUAGCUUACCAGAAAGGGACGGCUAACUACGUGCCAGCAGCCGCGGUAAUACGUAGGUCCCGAGCGUUGUCCGGAUUUAUUGGGCGUAAAGCGAGCGCAGGCGGUUUGAUAAGUCUGAAGUUAAAGGCUGUGGCUCAACCAUAGUUCGCUUUGGAAACUGUCAAACUUGAGUGCAGAAGGGGAGAGUGGAAUUCCAUGUGUAGCGGUGAAAUGCGUAGAUAUAUGGAGGAACACCGGUGGCGAAAGCGGCUCUCUGGUCUGUAACUGACGCUGAGGCUCGAAAGCGUGGGGAGCGAACAGGAUUAGAUACCCUGGUAGUCCACGCCGUAAACGAUGAGUGCUAGGUGUUGGAUCCUUUCCGGGAUUCGGUGCCGCAGCUAACGCAUUAAGCACUCCGCCUGGGGAGUACGACCGCAAGGUUGAAACUCAAAGGAAUUGACGGGGGCCCGCACAAGCGGUGGAGCAUGUGGCUUAAUUCGAAGCAACGCGAAGAACCUUACCUGCUCUUGACAUCCCAUUCGAUAGAAGGUAAUGCUUCUAGCCCUUCGGGGGAAUGGAGACAGGUGGUGCAUGGUUGUCGUCAGCUCGUGUCGUGAGAUGUUGGGUUAAGUCCCGCAACGAGCGCAACCCUUAUUGUCAGUAGCCAGCAGGUGAAGCUGGGCACUCUGAUGAGACUGCCGGGGAUAACCCGGAGGAAGGUGGGGAUGACGUCAAAUCAUCAUGCCCCUUAUGAGCAGGGCUACACACGUGCUACAAUGGCGUAAACAGAGGGAAGCGAAGGAGUGAUCCGGAGCAAAUCUCAAAAAUAACGUCUCAGUUCGGAUUGUAGUCUGCAACUCGACUACAUGAAGCUGGAAUCGCUAGUAAUCGCAGAUCAGAAUGCUGCGGUGAAUACGUUCCCGGGUCUUGUACACGCCGCCCGUCACACCAUGGGAGUCGGUAAUGCCCGAAGUCAGUGACUCAACCAUAAAGGAGAGAGCUGCCGAAGGCAGGACUGGUAACUGGGGUGAAGUCGUAACAAGGUA
rnacentral:rRNA from 1 species